CUUUUCAUCAUCCCAAAUUUUUCUAUCCGCCACAUCACUGAUUCAUACACCCUAGUCUUCCAUCACAGUCUCUUAAUUUUUAAGUUUUUUUUUUCUUACUACUCCCUUCAUACUUAUUCUUUAAUUUCAUGGAAACACUAGAGUAGCUAUCUUAAACUAAGACUACAGACCAUUAAAAAGUCAGUUUCUCAGCCAGGCACG
rnacentral:lncRNA from 1 species